CUUAGUUUAAGUCUGAAUAAUUGCUUUAAUAAAAGGAGAAACCUACGCGCUCUCGUGGGAGGGCUCGCGCCGUCGUGAUUGAUCGAUGCUCGCGGCGGCUCUCACGCGCGUGACAUUUUGGAGGACCGCUGGUCAGGAGGCAAAGCAGACAGCAGACACAUUCCUCCCUGCACCAGACACCGUAUGGCUGGUCUGCUAACCAGAAUCAUGAGGUGGCCGCUCGUCCAGCUGUCUGGGCCAGCUCCCUGAGCGGUCCAAGGCCCGGCUGCAUCCGGACAGGACCCCCGGGUCCGUGGGAGGAGCCAGUGACAGGCUGCCUUUGGCUCCUCAGCGUUUUCCAGGUGUCACGUUCAUCUGAAUGAGGCCAAACACUUUCUGUCAACAGAUGAGUAACUCUCUGUUUGGGCAUCUUGACAGCUUUUAAUUAACCCCUUAAUUAAUCUGCUUGGUCGAUGAACAUGGGAGGAUUAAUCUUAGUAAACAUUUUAUUUUUCAUUACCACUAUCGGCGUGUAUUAGUUUUGCAUUGACAUUGUUUGCAUACUGGGCACACGACUCUGGUUGGGAGAGAACAUGUCUAGUGAAUCUACCCCUAUUUCACCUCACCAGUCUUGUGUGCUCUUUUCCACCAUGGUUGGAGGCUUCAGGGGACUUCAGUCAUUCUGGAGUGCUGGCGCCUCUCCAGACAGUCCGAUUUUGCUCUAUAUGUGCUUUGGCUCCGCGCUUCACACUGAGAUGCUCACCUUUAUCCUGUAUGCCUCUGCCUCAGGGUGCCUGGUAGCUGGGAGAUUACCCCUGUGUUCAUGUUUAGAACAAUAGAGAAGAAGCAGUAGAGAGGGAGACCAUGUGGAUCUUCAGUGGCCACACAGGAAUUGAGUUCCCCACCCCCAAAAGCCCACCCCUCACCCUUUUGUACAUCAGUUGGGGGGGGGAUAUUUCACACUCUGGAUGUUCAUUACAGCACCCGAUGUGAUCUGAAUGUUCCCACCACUUUUCUCACGGACCAGGAGGCAGGCGUGAGUUGCUAUGCCUCUCAUCAGGGAGCUGUCUCUUCAGCAUCUCACCAUUCUCCACGUUCUUCUCACCUCCGUGUUCCAGAAAGGAGCAGACCUAGUUGUCCCAGCGUGAGGAGUGAUGGAGGUCAAUCAUGCAUGUGCCAAAGAGGCUGGAUGCUGCGGAGAUCGUGAGAAACUGAUAAGCCGACAGGACAGCACCUUUCGGUGUCCAUCAACCGCUUGGCUAAUACUGAAUAACUGUGUGCCAGACUUGGAGUUGCCAUGGUGAAGAACUGCUUGCUUACAGAGAGCUCCAAUGAAAGAAAAGACAUGGUUUGUCUGCUCAGAUGCCUGUUGGCAGGGACGACUGGGUGAUCAGUGUCACUGCGAAAGUGACAGGUGGCCCAGAAGGACGUCAGAGGGUCGUAUGUGGCUCAUGUGGGACCUUAAAAAAAUAAAUCAAUCCCGGUAUCUUCCCAAUGUCUUAAGAACGUCCUAAUUUGCCUGAUACAGCUAAAGGACAGAGCAAGAUUAUUUGCAACAUCCGUCUAUCUUCUAACCAUGUUUGGCUGUUGUUGAGCGUUUGAAGGUUUCUUGAAUAUAAACGCUUGAAAUCCUUCAUUUCACUGCCUCUGCCCCUGUGGGCUUUCCCAUCCCCCGCUCUGAAGACUGCAGCUGCGUGUGCACAGCCCUCGCAGGUCAGAAAGAGGGCUGAGCACAGUCCCUGUGCACCACGAGGAAUGUAAAGUAGAACCAGAGGAACAUGCUGGAUGAGCACGGUGGGUCCCCAUCCGGCAGGCGCUGGAGACCAGACCAGACCAGCUGAGGCCUCGGGUCCUAGUAUGACAUGUUCCUCCUGCUCUUAGGUCACACAGCUCUAGCAAACGAUCACCUUCUCUGCAUUUAAAAGAUGAUACCAGCAGGCUAGCCAGUACGUGCACAUCUUCCUUACGGCUCCACUGAGUAUGGGAAUAGCAGUCUACAGUGCAGCCCGGGUUUGUUUGGGACUCUGGACCAGACUAAACGGACGCAAACUAGAAAUGGCAGACCAGUAAUUUGACUUGCAAAGUCUAAAGAAUCACCGGCUCUUCUGUGAGAUGGAAUCCCCCUUCCUCAGCCUCGCCGUCCCUUGCCAAGACGGCAUGAGGGAGACCUGCGGGCAUUUCAGGGUUAACUUCGCUAGGCUUUUCAGAAGCUCAAGUACCCUGACAUGAGGAGCAGGGGUGGGGCUGUCGUGCCAUGAAAAGCAGUUUGAUGAGUGAUGUUGGCCUUUUUUUGCGCUUGAUGGGUCUUUCCCUCCCUGCCAAGCCAAGGAAUCAGAACACAACAUGAUCACCUGAGGCCAACAAAGCUGCAAACACUCAGGGAGAGUCAGUGUCUCCCAGCGAAACAGCGGCAUUGAGGGACUAUCAGCUUAAACCUGAUCUUCCUGAACACCCCAGUGCCCCAUCUCUGGCUCGUCCUAGUUCUACCUUCCCUGACUCAACACGCCAACUGUGAUGAUAUCAUAUUGUGUUACAGAUGCUGACCACGACUCCCUCUUACUUUGUUAUAUCAGUUAUGUUGUUGCUAUAAUGAGCUAAAACAGUCUACUGGCUCAUCCUGUUCGAAACGACUAGGGUGAGGUGUUUCUCUCUAUUCCGUACUCAUAUUUCUCACAGAUCAUCUCAGAUAUCAAAUGUUUGCUGAAUGGUAUCGCAAGACAGCAAUAAAUAAACUUCUUAUACUUAAAA